rnacentral:misc_RNA from 1 species
GAAAUGCGAUAAGUAAUGUGAAUUGCAGAAUUCAGUGAAUCAUCGAAUCUUUGAACGCACAUUGCGCCCGCCAGAAUUCUGGCGGGCAUGCCUGUUCGAGCGUCAUUUCAACCCUCGAGCUCCCCUUUCGGGGGGAGCCCGGCGUUGGGGACCCGGCGCUAACGACGCCGGCCCCGAAAUGGAGUGGCGGCCCGUCCGCGGCGACCUCUGCGUAGUAACAACCACUCGCACCGGGACCCGGGCGCGGCCACGCCGUAAAACACCCCACCUUCCGAAUGUUGACCUCGAAUCAGGUAGGAAUACCCGCUGAACUUAAGC